AUCACAACUCAGCCUCUUAGCCAAGACAACGUGUACUAUCUGUUGUUAUCAGUUUACCACUGAGUAUAUCCUCAGUCUGAGCACAGCAUGUUAAACGGAAUUUGGUGAGCAGAGGUUGACGUUGCUCAGUUCGGUCCACACAUUCACCUGAUACUCCAGAGCCUUCAGGGAUGGUGUGGCCUCU